UGUUGUCAGCUCGUGCCGUGAGGUGUUGGGUUAAGUCCCGCAACGAGCGCAACCCCUAUCUUUAGUUGCCAACAGGUUAAGCUGGGAACUCUAAAGAAACUGCCGUCGUAAGACGCGAGGAAGGAGGGGAUGAUGUCAAGUCAUCAUGGCCUUUAUGCCCAGGGCUACACACGUGCUACAAUGGUAGGAACAAAGGGCUGCUACCUGGUAACAGGAUGCUAAUCUCAAAAAUCCUAUCUCAGUUCGAAUUGAGGGCUGCAACUCGCCCUCAUGAAGCUGGAAUCGCUAGUAAUCGUAUAUCAGCAAUGAUACGGUGAAUUCGUUCCCGGACCUUGUACACACCGCCCGUCAAGCCAUGAAAGCCGGGGGGACCUGAAGUCGGUAACCGCAAGGAACCGCCUAGGGUAAAAUCGGUAAUU
rnacentral:rRNA from 1 species